rnacentral:rRNA from 1 species
UACGUAGGGGGCAAGCGUUGUCCGGAUUUAUUGGGCGUAAAGAGCGUGUAGGCGGCCAGGUAGGUCCGUUGUGAAAACUCGAGGCUCAACCUCGAGACGCCGAUGGAAACCAUCUGGCUAGAGUCCGGAAGAGGAGAGUGGAAUUCCCGGUGUAGCGGUGAAAUGCGCAGAUAUCAGGAGGAACACCGGUGGCGAAGGCGGUUCUCUGGGCAUUACCUGACGCUGAGGAGCGAAAGUGUGGGGAGCGAACAUG